AGCGAACGCUGGCGGCAGGCUUAACACAUGCAAGUCGAGCGGGCGUAGCAAUACGUCAGCGGCAGACGGGUGAGUAACGCGUGGGAACGUACCUUUUGGUUCGGAACAACACAGGGAAACUUGUGCUAAUACCGGAUAAGCCCUUACGGGGAAAGAUUUAUCGCCGAAAGAUCGGCCCGCGUCUGAUUAGCUAGUUGGUGAGGUAACGGCUCACCAAGGCGACGAUCAGUAGCUGGUCUGAGAGGAUGAUCAGCCACAUUGGGACUGAGACACGGCCCAAACUCCUACGGGAGGCAGCAGUGGGGAAUAUUGGACAAUGGGGGCAACCCUGAUCCAGCCAUGCCGCGUGAGUGAUGAAGGCCCUAGGGUUGUAAAGCUCUUUUGUGCGGGAAGAUAAUGACGGUACCGCAAGAAUAAGCCCCGGCUAACUGCGU
rnacentral:rRNA from 1 species